UAGAGGAGCAGCAGUAGAACCCUUACCAUUACUAAACUCAGUAAUGGUAACGGUUUAACCGACACUCCACAA